AAUCUAUAAGCUUUUACAGCAUUUUAUUUACACUAAAAUCAAUCAACUAAUUUAAAUUA
rnacentral:tRNA from 1 species